CAAAUUGAGAGUUUGAUCCUGGCUCAGGACGAACGCUGGCGGCGUGCCUAAUACAUGCAAGUCGAGCGAGCUGAAUUCAAAGAUCCCUUCGGGGUGAUUUGUUGGACGCUAGCGGCGGAUGGGUGAGUAACACGUGGGCAAUCUGCCCUAAAGACUGGGAUACCACUUGGAAACAGGUGCUAAUACCGGAUAACAACAUGAAUCGCAUGAUUCAAGUUUGAAAGGCGGCGUAAGCUGUCACUUUAGGAUGAGCCCGCGGCGCAUUAGCUAGUUGGUGGGGUAAAGGCCUACCAAGGCAAUGAUGCGUAGCCGAGUUGAGAGACUGAUCGGCCACAUUGGGACUGAGACACGGCCCAAACUCCUACGGGAGGCAGCAGUAGGGAAUCUUCCACAAUGGACGCAAGUCUGAUGGAGCAACGCCGCG
rnacentral:rRNA from 1 species